rnacentral:rRNA from 1 species
GACGAACGCUGGCGGCGUGCUUAACACAUGCAAGUCGAACGGAAAGGCCCUGCUUUUGUGGGGUGCUCGAGUGGCGAACGGGUGAGUAACACGUGAGUAACCUGCCCUUGACUUUGGGAUAACUUCAGGAAACUGGGGCUAAUACCGGAUAGGAGCUCCUGCUGCAGGGUGGGGGGUGGAAAGUUUCGGCGGUUGGGGAUGGACUCGCGGCUUAUCAGCUUGUUGGUGGGGUAGUGGCUUACCAGGGCUUUGACGGGUAGCCGGCCUGAGAGGGUGACCGGCCACAUUGGGACUGAGAUACGGCCCAGACUCCUACGGGAGGCAGCAGUGGGGAAUAGUGCACAAUGGGAGGAAGCCUGAUGCAGCAACGCCGCGUGCGGGAUGACGGCCUUCGUGUUGUAAACCGCGUUCGCCUGUGACGAGGCGUGAGUGACGGUAAUGGGUAAAGAAGCACCGGCUAACUACGUG